ACGCUGUGAUGAAUAUUUUUGUGCCAAAGACGAGGCUUUUCGGAGUCAAAUCGGUGACGGCAACACAAACCUCUAAGAAGUUCUGAGCGU